GUGCUCCAACCUUAUCAUUUUCCUCUUGCCUGUCUUUCUUCUCAACCAUCUUGUCUACCUCAUCUGCUGAUUCUAGUUUAUCAGAUUCAAAAUCCUCAGAAUUCAUCCCAGUAUCUGCGAUGUUUGAUGCAAAAACUUCGCCCAUUUUCGCAUCAAUUUCUUCUGUGGCAUCUCCAUUUUUAAUUUCCUUCUUUACAAUGUUCUGCUUCUCCUUUCCUUCAUCACUUGUUUUCCCUAACGUAUCCACCUCUGGUACUUCAAUCUCCUGGCCUGGUCCUAGAAUAUCAUUCCUUAUAGUUGUCUCUGCCUCUGGAGUUUUCUCUUCCACCAAUUCUUUCAUAUUUUCUUCUUUGCUGUGUCCCUUUUGUUCCUUAGAAUGUUGUUCUUCCUUCUCUUGAAGCUUUAUUAAGUUUCUGUCUUCACUAUGUCUUCUCACCUUAGUAUUUCCCCCUUCAUUUAUCUUGUCAACCUCAUCUGCUUCUAGUUUAUCAGAUUCAAACUCUUCAUCAUUUUUCUCAGUUUCUGCAAUUUCAUCAUCACCAACUACUUGUGUUCUAUCAAUGUUUGGUCUGAAUCCUUCUCCCAUUGCCCCAUCAACCUCUUCUUUGACAUCCCUAUUUUUUUUAUCCAUCUUUACAACUUUUUUCUUCUCAUGACCACUUGUUUCUCCAUCCACCAUUUCUGAAAUCUUGCUUUCUUCAUUGUGUCUCUCUGGUUCUUCAAUCCCUUGAACCUUUCUCAAGCCAUCACCAACAUCAUCAGUCAUUUCCUUUUCCAUUGCUCCACUUGUACUUGUUCUAUCUAAAACAUCAGAUUCUUGUUCUUCAAUCUCUUCAAAUGCUCUGGAUCCAAAAUCAUCACUAUCAUCACUCUCUGCUUGAACCAGUUGUUUAUUAUUCUCUUGUUCCUCAUGUCUUGUCUGUUCAUGACAUUCUCUUCCUUCAAUGUCCGGAGGCUUUCUUAAGCUACUGUCCACACUCUCUUUAUUUGAAUCAGCCAAUCCUUUUUCUUCUUCUAUACGUUCAUCAAUCUGGUGACUCUUCUCUAAGUAAUCAUCCUUUAGUUCCCCCUUCUCUGUUUCCUCUUUAUGCUCAGCUUCACUCACAUCCACUCUUUCUUCUUCUUCUUCUUCUUCUUCUUCUUCUUCCUCAAUCUUAAAUCCAGAGAUUCCUUUUACUCUUUUCGGCAUUGUGAUCGUAAGAGUCGCAUCAUCGUCAUCAAACCUCGCUUUAAUCUUGUCUAAAUCGACAGUAUCAGGAAUCCUAAAAACUUUCUUGAAAACACUAAAUUCCACUUCUUUCCUCCAUGCCAUCCAUCUAAUCAUAACCAUUUCUUCCACUGGUUUUCUU